UCCGGAGGGGGCUAGCGUUGUUCGGAAUUACUGGGCGUAAAGCGCGCGUAGGCGGACCUGCAAGUCGGGGGUGAAAGCCCGAGGCUCAACCUCGGAACUGCCUUCGAUACUGCGGGUCUCGAGUCCGGGAGAGGUGAGUGGAAUUCCUAGUGUAGAGGUGAAAUUCGUAGAUAUUAGGGAGAACACCAGUGGCGAAGGCGGCUCACUGGCCCGGUACUGACGCUGAGGCGCGAAAGCGUGGGGAGCAAACAGG
rnacentral:rRNA from 1 species